GAUGAGCGCUGGCGGCGUGCCUAAUACAUGCAAGUCGAGCGAACGGACGAGAAGCUUGCUUCUCUGAUGUUAGCGGCGGACGGGUGAGUAACACGUGGAUAACCUACCUAUAAGACUGGGAUAACUUCGGGAAGCCGGAGCUAAUACCGGAUAAUAUUUUGAACCGCAUGGUUCAAAAGUGAAAGACGGUCUUGCUGUCACUUAUAGAUGGAUCCGCGCUGCAUUAGCUAGUUGGUAAGGUAACGGCUUACCAAGGCAACGAUGCAUAGCCGACCUGAGAGGGUGAUCGGCCACACUGGAACUGAGACACGGUCCAGACUCCUACGGGAGGCAGCAGUAGGGAAUCUUCCGCAACGGGCGAAAGCCUGACGGAGCAACGCCGCGUGAGUGAUGAAGGUCUUCGGAUCGUAAAACUCUGUUAUUAGGGAAGAACAUAUGUGUAAGUAACUGUGCACAUCUUGACGGUACCUAAUCAGAAAGCCACGGCUAACUACGUG
rnacentral:rRNA from 1 species